UACAGAGGGGGCAAGCGUUAUUCGGAAUUAUUGGGCGUAAAGGGCGCGUAGGCGGCUUGGCAAGUGGAUGGUGAAAUCCCUCGGCUUAACCGAGGAACUGCCAUCCAGACUGCUUUGCUUGAGGCCGGGAGAGGUGAGUGGAAUUCCCAGUGUAGCGGUGAAAUGCGUAGAUAUUGGGAGGAACACCAGUGGCGAAGGCGGCUCACUGGACUGGUUCUGACGCUGAGGAGCGAAAGCGUGGGGAGCGAACAGG
rnacentral:rRNA from 1 species